rnacentral:rRNA from 1 species
ACAACAUUUUUGUUGAACCAGUAAAUUCCGUAAAGUAAACUACACUCGUCAAGAGUGAUUUUUUGCGGAGAGUUUGAUCCUGGCUCAGGAUGAACGCUGGCGGCGUGCCUAAUACAUGCAAGUCGAACGAGGUGCUUUUGUAGCAAUACGAAAGUAUCCUAGUGGCGAACGGGUGAGUAACGCGUUGGUGACCUACCCCAAAGUGUGGGAUAACAGUUCGAAAGAACUGCUAAUACCGCAUGUGGUUAUCGGAUUUAGAAACUGAUAACUAAAGGAGCAAUUCGCUUUGGGAGGGACCUGCGUCCCAUCAGCUAGUUGGUGAGGUAAUGGCUCACCAAGGCUACGACGGGUAGGGGACCUGAGAGGGUGACCCCCCCACAAUGGAACUGAAACACGGUCCAUACACCUACGGGUGGCAGCAGUAGGGAAUAUUGCACAAUGGCGAAAGCCUGAUGCAGCAACGCCGCGUGUGCGAUGAAGGCCCUCGGGUCGUAAAGCACUUUUCUGGAGAGAUGAGCCAA